GCUUGCGCAUGGCCGCCUGGUACUGCUUGAUCGCCGUCUUGUUCACGACGGUACCGGUGCCGACGGCGACGUGAUCGUACUUGGGGAACACCCAGCCGUAGAAAUCGGGGGAGACGUCGUCGCCGACGUACAUCUCGGCGAGGUCCUUGUAGUAGUCCAUCUUCUCGUCGGGAAUCUUGAUGCGCUCCUGGAAGGCGAUGGCGUAGUCGUACUCGCCGGCGUCGAUGUUCUUGGCGACGCGGGAGUUGGCACCGUCGGCGCCGAUGACGACGUCCACCUCCAUCGUCUUGGGCUCGCCAAC
rnacentral:lncRNA from 1 species